UACGAAGGGGGCGAGCGUUAUUCGGAAUCACUGGGCGUAAAGCGUGCGUAGGCUGUUCUGUAAGUUGGAAGUGAAAGCCCGGGGCUCAACCCCGGAAUUGCUUUCAAAACUACAGGACUCGAGUCCGGGAGAGGAUAGCGGAAUUUCCAGUGUAGUAGUGAAAUACGUAGAUAUUGGAAGGAACACCAAUGGCGCAAGCGGCUAUCUGGACCGGUACUGACGCUGAGGCACGAAAGCGUGGGGAUCAAACAGG
rnacentral:rRNA from 1 species